GAUGAACGCUGGCGGCGUGCCUAAUACAUGCAAGUCGAGCGAACGGACGAGAAGCUUGCUUCUCUGAUGUUAGCGGCGGACGGGUGAGUAACACGUGGAUAACCUACCUAUAAGACGGGGAUAACUUCGGGAAACCGGAGACAAUACCGGAUAAUAUUUUGAACCGCAUGGUUCAAAAGUGAAUGACGGUCUUGCUGUCACUUAUAGAUGGAUCCGCGCUGCAUUAGCUAGUUGGUGAGGUAACGGCUUACCAAGGCAACGAUGCAUAGCCGACCUGAGAGGGUGAUCGGCCACACUGGAACUGAGACACGGUCCAGACUCCUACGGGAGGCAGCAGUAGGGAAUCUUCCGCAAUGGGCGAAAGCCUGACGGAGCCACGCCGCGUGAGUGAUGAAGGUCUUCGGAUCGUAAAACUCUGUUAUUGGGGAAGAACAUAUGUGUAAGUAACUGUGCACAUCCUGACGGUACCUAAUCAGAAAGCCACGGCUAACUACGUG
rnacentral:rRNA from 1 species